GUCCACGCCCUAAACGAUGUCAACUGGUUGUCGGGGAAGCAAUUCCUUGGUAACGAAGCUAACGCGUGAAGUUGACCGCCUGGGGAGUACGGCCGCAAGGUUAAAACUCAAAGGAAUUGACGGGGACCCGCACAAGCGGUGGAUUAUGUGGAUCAAUUCGAUGCAACGCGAAAAACCUUACCUACCCUUGACAUGUACGGAAGCCCGCAGAAAUGCGGAGGUGCCCGAAAGGGAGCCGUAACACAGGUGCUGCAUGGCUGUCGU
rnacentral:rRNA from 1 species